UGGGGAAUUUUGGACAAUGGGCGAAAGCCUGAUCCAGCAAUGCCGCGUGUGUGAAGAAGGCCUUCGGGUUGUAAAGCACUUUUGUCCGGAAAGAAAUCCUUGGCUCUAAUACAGUCGGGGGAUGACGGUACCGGAAGAAUAAGCACCGGCUAACUACGUGCCAGCAGCCGCGGUAAUACGUAGGGUGCAAGCGUUAAUCGGAAUUACUGGGCGUAAAGCGUGCGCAGGCGGUUUGCUAAGACCGAUGUGAAAUCCCCGGGCUCAACCUGGGAACUGCAUUGGUGACUGGCAGGCUAGAGUAUGGCAGAGGGGGGUAGAAUUCCACGCGUAGCAGUGAAAUGCGUAGAGAUGUGGAGGAAUACCGAUGGCGAAGGCAGCCCCCUGGGCCAAUACUGACGCUCAUGCACGAAAGCGUGGGGAGCAAACAGGAUUAGAUACCCUGGUAGUCCACGCCCUAAAACGAUGUCAACUAGUUGUUGGGGAUUCAUUUCCUUAGUAACGUAGCUAACGCGUGAAGUUGACCGCCUGGGGAGUACGGUCGCAAGAUUAAAACUCAAAUGAAUUGACGGGGUCAUAGCUGUUUCCU
rnacentral:rRNA from 1 species